rnacentral:rRNA from 1 species
AGAGUUUGAUCCUGGCUCAGAUUGAACGCUGGCGGCAUGCCUUACACAUGCAAGUCGAACGGCAGCACGGGGGCAACCCUGGUGGCGAGUGGCGAACGGGUGAGUAAUACAUCGGAACGUGUCCUGUAGUGGGGGAUAGCCCGGCGAAAGCCGGAUUAAUACCGCAUACGCUCUACGGAGGAAAGGGGGGGAUCUUAGGACCUCCCGCUACAGGGGCGGCCGAUGGCAGAUUAGCUAGUUGGUGGGGUAAAGGCCUACCAAGGCGACGAUCUGUAGCUGGUCUGAGAGGACGACCAGCCACACUGGGACUGAGACACGGCCCAGACUCCUACGGGAGGCAGCAGUGGGGAAUUUUGGACAAUGGGGGCAACCCUGAUCCAGCAAUGCCGCGUGUGUGAAGAAGGCCUUCGGGUUGUAAAGCACUUUUGUCCGGAAAGAAAACGCCGUGGUUAAUACCCGUGGCGGAUGACGGUACCGGAAGAAUAAGCACCGGCUAACUACGUGCCAGCAGCCGCGGU